rnacentral:rRNA from 1 species
UACGAAGGGGGCUAGCGUUGCUCGGAAUCACUGGGCGUAAAGCGCACGUAGGCGGACUCUUAAGUCGGCGGUGAAAUCCUGGAGCUCAACUCCAGAACUGCCUUCGAUACUGGGAGUCUCGAGUCCGGGAGAGGUGAGUGGAACUGCGAGUGUAGAGGUGAAAUUCGUAGAUAUUCGCAAGAACACCAGUGGCGAAGGCGGCUCACUGGCCCGAUACUGACGCUGAGGCACGAAAGCGUGGGGAGCAAACAGG